rnacentral:rRNA from 1 species
CCUACGUGAGGCUGCAGUAGGGAAUCUUCCACAAUGGGCGAAAGCCUGAUGGAGCAACGCCGCGUGGGUGAAGAAGGUCUUCGGAUCGUAAAACCCUGUUGUUAGAGAAGAAAGUGCGUGAGAGUAACUGUUCACGUUUCGACGGUAUCUAACCAGAAAGCCACGGCUAACUACGUGCCAGCAGCCGCGGUAAUACGUAGGUGGCAAGCGUUAUCCGGAUUUAUUGGGCGGAAAGGGAACGCAGGCGGUCUUUUAAGUCUGAUGUGAAAGCCUUCGGCUUAACCGGAGUAGUGCAUUGGAAACUGGGAGACUUGAGUGCAGAAGAGGAGAGUGGAACUCCAGGGGUAGCGGUGAAAUGCGUAGAUAUAUGGAAGAACACCAGUGGCGAAAGCGGCUCUCUGGUCUGUAACUGACGCUGAGGUUCGAAAGCGUGGGUAGCAAACAGGAUUAGAUACCCUAGUAGUC